rnacentral:misc_RNA from 1 species
UUGAGGAGAAGAAUGAUGGUAAUUUUGGUGAAGCUGUCAAACCUGACACUCUUGUAUCUGAUAAACAAGAAAAGGUACUAGAGAAUCAAAACCCUAAUCAACAGGAUAUUGAACUAGAAGGAGAAAUCAAGGACAAAUCAGGUGCAACUGAAGAGAAGAGUGAGCAACUUACUGAGACAAACAAGACUAUAGAAGUCACUGAGAAUGGCAACCAUAGGAAUGGUGCUGAUGAGGUAAAGCCUUGAAGACGAUUUUACGUUUCUGGCUGUGGCCCCUUUAUUUGUCUUUCCGAAAG